AAGUCUGACGGAGCAACGCCGCGUGAGUGAUGAAGGCUUUCGGGUCGUAAAACUCUGUUGUUAGGGAAGAACAAGUACAAGAGUAACUGCUUGUGCCUUGACGGUACCUAACCAGAAAGCCACGGCUAACUACGUGCCAGCAGCCGCGGUAAUACGUAGGUGGCAAGCGUUAUCCGGAAUUAUUGGGCGUAAAGSGCGCGCAGGCGGUUUCUUAAGUCUGAUGUGAAAGCCCACGGCUCAACCGUGGAGGGUCAUUGGAAACUGGGGAACUUGAGUGCAGAAGAGAAAAGCGGAAUUCCACGUGUAGCGGUGAAAUGCGUAGAGAUGUGGAGGAACACCAGUGGCGAAGGCGGCUUUUUGGUCUGUAACUGACGCUGAGGCGCGAAAGCGUGGGGAGCAAACAGGAUUAGAUACCCUGGUAGUCCACGCCGUAAACGAUGAGUGCUAAGUGUUAGAGGGUUUCCGCCCUUUAGUGCUGCAGCUAACGCAUUAAGCACUCCGCCUGGGGAGUACGG
rnacentral:rRNA from 1 species